rnacentral:lncRNA from 1 species
AGCUGAAAGGAGUAUGUUUUAAGGAAGAGGAUGUGUCAGCAGUGACAACUGCAGAACGACUUAGGUGGAAGAUCACACAUCAGACGACACCAAGGAGACCUUGAAGCACUAAGUUCCUCAGUUGAAACGCUGUGAAGACAACGAGGAUCAGGAGGACACGCUGAUGGCGGCCACCCUCUAGGGGAGAACGGGCUCCGGAACCUCACAGAGAUGAUGAUGCUACCUAGGUACCAGUAUACAGAACUGACUAUCAAAAUGCCUAGGGGCUUUUGGUCCCUCCUUGAAUGUCCUCUACCUCCAGCAUCAACUUUAUACCCAGAGGUGCCUGUCUCCAGAUGGUGUGCUGGCGAGCUUUUGCACAUACAAAACAGUAGCUUGUGCUGACUCUGACAUGGACCUGCAAUAAAGAUGCAGAUGAGGUUUUGGGAAUGUCCAUCCGGGGAUAAGGAUGCACCCAUCAACUGACUUCUCACUGAGUGGCUGCUGUCCUUCAGACUACUGUGUGCUUUGUUGUAUCAAGAUGUAGUUUGUUUUUUUUUUUCUUCACGGAAGCCACAGACAGUUUCAGAGAAAGAAGACGUCUCUGUGGGUAAAACCACUUCUGUACAAGCUUCAGGGUCUGAGUUUGAAUCACCUGAACCUGAGUAAAAGCCAGAUGCCAAGAAAUCUUAAGAGAGUGUUCCCCAAAGUUUAUGGAGGAGACAAAGGGGUUAGAGAAUGUUUAUUUUCCUAAAACCAGAAGCUCAAACAAACAAACAAAAACCCAAAAAACCUCGUAUGUAUUUUCCCAACAAUAGACUCUCUGAACUUUUGACAUUAGCUCCUGAUUUAAAAUGUAAUACACAUUUCCAGACCAUACUCAUUGAUUUUUAACUCUCUGUUUUUUAUAUCCCCUCUACCACGUCACUGGAGCUUUUUUUUGGGGGGGGGGGGGAAUAAAAGUGAGUUUCUUUCCACCCCAGAACUAUAGCCCCCAAUAUGGUAGCCAUGGUAACUGUAUGUGGCUGUUUUAAGUUUCUUAGGAUGAGCUAAAGUUUAAAGAUCUGUUUCUCUUUUCCACUGCCUGCAUUCCAAAGGCCAGAGGCUACCUUGUGUGAAGGUCAAGGGGGAUGGAGCCUUAAACUCUGCAGAUUUGGGGUCUGUUUUCACAGAACGGGAGCUGUGGGCUGAGGUCUAUUGCCUGCUGAGUGUAGUGACUCUCUGGAAUGCCUACAUAGCCUUACACCUUUAUUCUUUUGUUCCUGCUCAAAUUUUCACCUCC